UUUUAUGGAGAGUUUGAUCCUGGCUCAGAGUGAACGCUGGCGGCGUGCCUAAUACAUGCAAGUCGAACGAUGAAGCUUCUAGCUUGCUAGAGUGCUGAUUAGUGGCGCACGGGUGAGUAACGCAUAGGUCAUGUGCCUCUUAGUUUGGGAUAGCCAUUGGAAACGAUGAUUAAUACCAGAUACUCCCUACGGGGGAAAGAUUUAUCGCUAAGAGAUCAGCCUAUGUCCUAUCAGCUUGUUGGUAAGGUAAUGGCUUACCAAGGCUAUGACGGGUAUCCGGCCUGAGAGGGUGAACGGACACACUGGAACUGAGACACGGUCCAGACUCCUACGGGAGGCAGCAGUAGGGAAUAUUGCUCAAUGGGGGAAACCCUGAAGCAGCAACGCCGCGUGGAGGAUGAAGGUUUUAGGAUUGUAAACUCCUUUUGUUAGAGAAGAUAAUGACGGUAUCUAACGAAUAAGCACCGGCUAACUCCGUGCCAGCAGCCGCGGUAAUACGGAGGGUGCAAGCGUUACUCGGAAUCACUGGGCGUAAAGAGCGCGUAGGCGGGAUAGUCAGUCAGGUGUGAAAUCCUAUGGCUUAACCAUAGAACUGCAUUUGAAACUACUAUUCUAGAGUGUGGGAGAGGUAGGUGGAAUUCUUGGUGUAGGGGUAAAAUCCGUAGAGAUCAAGAGGAAUACUCAUUGCGAAGGCGACCUGCUGGAACAUUACUGACGCUGAUUGCGCGAAAGCGUGGGGAGCAAACAGGAUUAGAUACCCUGGUAGUCCACGCCCUAAACGAUGGAUGCUAGUUGUUGGAGGGCUUAGUCUCUCCAGUAAUGCAGCUAACGCAUUAAGCAUCCCGCCUGGGGAGUACGGUCGCAAGAUUAAAACUCAAAGGAAUAGACGGGGACCCGCACAAGCGGUGGAGCAUGUGGUUUAAUUCGAAGAUACACGAAGAACCUUACCUAGGCUUGACAUUGAGAGAAUCCGCUAGAAAUAGUGGAGUGUCUGGCUUGCCAGACCUUGAAAACAGGUGCUGCACGGCUGUCGUCAGCUCGUGUCGUGAGAUGUUGGGUUAAGUCCCGCAACGAGCGCAACCCCCUUUCUUAGUUGCUAACAGGUCAUGCUGAGAACUCUAAGGAUACUGCCUCCGUAAGGAGGAGGAAGGUGGGGACGACGUCAAGUCAUCAUGGCCCUUACGCCUAGGGCUACACACGUGCUACAAUGGGGUGCACAAAGAGAAGCAAUACUGCGAAGUGGAGCCAAUCUUCAAAACAUCUCUCAGUUCGGAUUGUAGGCUGCAACUCGCCUGCAUGAAGCUGGAAUCGCUAGUAAUCGCAAAUCAGCCAUGUUGCGGUGAAUACGUUCCCGGGUCUUGUACUCACCGCCCGUCACACCAUGGGAGUUGUGUUUGCCUUAAGUCAGGAUGCUAAAUUGGCUACUGCCCACGGCACACACAGCGACUGGGGUGAAGUCGUAACAAGGUAACCGUAGGUGAACCUGCGGUUGGAUCACCUCCUUUCUAGA
rnacentral:rRNA from 1 species